GGAAGGAUCAUUAACACGUUAUCCACGUAUCACCAAGACAAAUGUUAUGUGCUACCGGAGGGGCAAACUGAACAUGUGCAUGCUUUAGCUAAGGAAAGGGCUUGACAGGUGAGAGCAAUCUCGCUGAUCGCUCGGCUAGAUGUGCCACUCUUGCUGACGGGCUUGCUUUUUGGCGGCUCCGAUGGCGGGUACUGUUGUAUUUGUUCUGUAAGGCAACUUCUGAUUGGGAGAGCGGUUCCUUGUAAACUCUCUUUCAGGAACAUUCUUUACUAUUUUCACCAAUUUUUGCUAGUUGACUUUUAUAUGUUGUUCUUUGUCUCGGCAAGGUUCACACGUUUAAUUAUUUGAACGUUAAAAAUACAACUCUUAGCAAUGGAUAUCUAGGUUCUCGCAACGAUGAAGAACGCAGCGAAAUGCGAUACGUAAUGCGAAUUGCAGAAUUCAGUGAAUCAUCAAAUCUUUGAACGCAAAUUGCGCUCUUGGGUAGCCCUAGGAGCACGCCUCUCUCAGUAUCGGUUCAACCAUCUCUCAGCAGCGCUAUUGCUUUUUGUAAUCGGCGUGUUGGCUGGAUAAUGAGAGUCUGCUUCGCGGCAGUCUCUUUAAGUACAUUGAGCAAUUUUAACUAACGAUCAGUUUUCGCUUCGGCGGAAUUGUCUGUUUUCGACUGUCGUUGGGUAGUGACGUGAAUAUUGGCCCUUGUGGUCUAACUUUUACGUGUAUCUGCCUAGCGAUAAUUAAAAGUUGGGAGCAGGUGAACGAACGACCUAGUUUAAUUUUGUGUGAGUAAACCAUAUGAUUUAAUUAAAAUUUUAAUUUUAAUGAAUCUGAAUUUUGAUCUGAGAUGAAGCGAGACAACCCCCUGAAUUUAAGCAUAUUAAUAAGGGGAGGAAAAGAAACUAACAAGGAUUCCCCCAGUAACGGCGAGUGAAGCGGGAAGAGCUCAAUUUGAAAAUCGAUUUCCUAAACGGGACAUCGAAUUGUAGCCUAGAGACGUACUAUCAGCUGAAACCUGGGUAUAAGUUCUUUGGAAUGAGGCAUCAUAGAGGGUGAGAAUCCCGUAUAUUACCCAAAGCUUUCAGCGUACGAUGUAUGUUCAUCGAGUCGAGUUGUUUGGGAUUGCAGCUCUAAAUGGGUGGUAAGUUUCAUCUAAAGCUAAAUAAUGGCGAGAGACCGAUAGCGAACAAGUACCGUGAGGGAAAGAUGAAAAGAACUUUGAAAAGAGAGUUAAAAGUACUUGAAAUUGCUAAGAGGGAAGCGCUAGAAACUAGUGAUACGCUGGGUCAAUCGCUUUCGGCCCCUCUAGUUUGCGUAAGUAAUGGGCAACCUUGCUUGCGUAAACGAAAGGGUGGUUGGGAGUUUAUGAUUUAGUGUCAGUCAAGAUCAAUUCGAAUUGUGGGAGAAGGUAGCGAGAAAGGUAGGUGAGCAAUCACUGUUAUAUUCUUGUUACUCUACCUCGGCUUGGAUUGAGGAAGUAAUGGUGCGCCGCUUGCGGCUUGGUCCUGCGUUUUUGUUGUCCUAUUUGUUUUUAUAGCAAUGCUAUGCUGAUGAAGAAAGGCAAUACUGGGCGUAGUGAUUCUAUGUGCUAUCACGAUCUUGUACGAAAUAGUUUCUAUCGACCCGUCUUGAAACACGGACCAAGGAGUCUAACAUCUAUGCAAGUAUUUGGGUGCAAAACCCUGAUGCGCAAUGAAAGUAAAGGCAGCUUCGGCUGCUGAGGUAGGAAUCCCGCAAGGGAGGCACUAUCGACCGAUCAUCACUUGUGAAAGAUUUGAGUAAGAGCAUAUCUGUUGGGACCCGAAAGAUGGUGAUCUAUGCCUGAACAGGGUGAAGCCAGGGGAAACUCUGGUGGAGGCUCGUAGCGAUACUGACGUGCAAAUCGUUCGUCUGAUUUGGGUAUAGGGGCGAAAGACUAAUCGAACCAUCUAGUAGCUGGUUCCCUC
rnacentral:misc_RNA from 1 species